rfam:Salmo salar isolate Sally breed double haploid chromosome ssa14, whole genome shotgun sequence.
CCCUGUGGCUCAGUUGGUAGAGCAUGGUGUUUGCAAUGCCAGGGUGGUGGGUUCGAUUCCCACAGGGG